rnacentral:rRNA from 1 species
AUGGUGGAUCAGGGCGUCUAUGGACCGCAGACAUACAUUGAGAAGACAGCUUUGCUCCAAGAUCUCGUGGACAUCCAAGACUUGCACGCUGGACCGUGGUUGGUCAUGGGAGACUUCAACCUUUUAGUAAACCCAGAGGACAAGAAUAACAACUUGAUGAACCGGCAAAUGAUGGCAAGUUUCCGUACCAAGUUGAACCUCCUUGAGCUAAAGGAGCUCUACCUCAACGGAAGACGACACACAUGGUCAAAUGAGUGAGCUCGAGCAACCCAAGAAAAGAUUGACCACACUUUCUGUACGAACUCAUGGGAGGACAUGUACCCAACGAGCUUCCUCUUGGCUCUAGGCUCUGCGGUGUCCGACCACUGCCCUAUGGUCCUUGAUCUCAAUGUGGAGCUGACAAUGGGGUGA